CUCACAAUUUGGACGGUUUAUUUGAGUUGAUGGUGCCUGAGUGUCAACCCUGAAAGAAGAGGGCUAUACUUCCUACGCACUGUGCGCAUUUUAGAGAGGACCCGUCAAGAGGAACAAGAUCCCAGAUCCGAGAGUUCCAGACGAUGGGUAGGGUUAGGGUUUCGAUCUUCUCUGCGAUUCUCCUCGUCGUGCUGCUCCUGUCUUCGUCCUUCAUCUUUCUCGCCUCUUCCUCCCAUGAAAUCGGUCGCCAUCCAUUCGGCAGCUUCUCCAAGAGCGGUAACAAUCAGCUCCCGAAUUGCAGAGAGAUAGCGUCGAGAUCCGAAUGCUUGAGGAGUACCAAAUGCAGGUGGUGCCGUAGCGAAGCCAUUGACGACAUGUGUUUCUCCGCCUCCGAAGCUUGGAGACUACCCCAACAGGAAAUGUGAUGCUACAUAAAGAAAUCGGUGCCUCACCUUAGUCUCCUGCAUCGCUGCAAUUAGGACAACUCCUGAAGGUAUCAUCUGGACCAACAUGUAGCUCAAGCUUGUUAUCAUUGACAACUAGCAAAAUGAUGAAAGGGAGUGAAGAGAGCAAGGGUUUGUCUGAAGUAGAAAACAGUAAAACUGCGCCUGUGAUCUCAAUAUGUGACUGGUGAGCAUCUUUAGCGGUUGAUAGCUUUUCAGUCUCAAGGAGGCUCGAUUCCUUGAGAAUCAAAGAAGAACAAUAUUGUUUGGAUUGGGAGUGGGAGUGGAAUACAAUGGUAUUUCCUCCUGUA